CUGUGUGCCAAGGGUACCAUUGGCUUUCAGUGUGAGAGGAAAAGCAAUAAAUUCUUCAGUCUGCUCCCUUCUCCUUAUUAUUGUGUGUCCUUCAUUCUGAAAGAAGACCAAUGACAUCAGGAAGAUGAUGUCUUGACUUGCAAGUGAAUUGAAUUUAAGUAAGGCAAGUCUGUGCAAAGUCGCCAGCCACCACCAUAAAGGUAUUCAGCAAUGCACGCUAAGCAAGUUUCCCGAAGUUGGUUUGAAUCUUCUAACCACGAAACAUCUUAGGAGCAUGGAACUCUGUCCCCUCCUCCUUCCCCACCCCCACUACCCCAUGGGAGCACACAUUUUUCCAGCCAGAUAAAGAAAGAAACAAAAUGGAGCGAGAGAGUCAGGGAGCCAAAGUUUUAUUAAGGACAUCUGAAUAUAACUGUCUAUGUGACUCUUUAAUUCCUCUCGAAGUUUCCAGAGCACAGGACAUAUGCUGGCCUAGCCUGGCUGUGCCAAUGGCAUUAACGUGGAGGACAUCAGAAGGAUGUUGGAUCCACUCCCAAACACAUCCUGAACCUCGCAGGCUGUGGGAAUGGAGAGUGUUUUCCAUGGACGCUCUGAGUUUUUGGAGUUAAUCAAGCAUUUUUAAUAGUCUCUUUGGGGAAACUGGUCUCUGUAUUUUUAAAACUUGCUAUUGUGUUCUGUUGUUAAGGUUUAAAUGGUCAUAAAGCAAGCAAAAAAUGAAAAGUGUGG